rnacentral:rRNA from 1 species
GAUGAGCAUGCGUCCCAUUAGCUAGUUGGUAAGGUAACGGCUUACCAAGGCUACGAUGGGUAGGGGUCCUGAGAGGGAGAUCCCCCACACUGGUACUGAGACACGGACCAGACUCCUACGGGAGGCAGCAGUGAGGAAUAUUGGACAAUGGGCGCAAGCCUGAUCCAGCCAUGCCGCGUGCAGGAUGACGGUCCUAUGGAUUGUAAACUGCUUUUAUACGAGAAGAAACACUCCUUCGUGAAGGAGCUUGACGGUAUCGUAAGAAUAAGGAUCGGCUAACUCCGUGCCAGCAGCCGCGGUAAUACGGAGGAUCCAAGCGUUAUCCGGAAUCAUUGGGUUUAAAGGGUCCGUAGGCGGUUUAAUAAGUCAGUGGUGAAAGCCCAUCGCUCAACGGUGGAACGGCCAUUGAUACUGUUAGACUUGAAUUAUUAGGAAGUAACUAGAAUAUGUAGUGUAGCGGUGAAAUGCUUAGAGAUUACAUGGAAUACCAAUUGCGAAGGCAGGUUACUACUAAUUGAUUGACGCUGA